rnacentral:tRNA from 1 species
GGAUUGUGGCUCAGUGGUAGAGCACUUGCCUAGCAUGUGUGAGGCACUGGGUUCAAUUCUCAGCACCG